UUGCCUCAGUAACGGCGAGUGAAGCGGCAACAGCUCAAAUUUGAAAUCUGGCCGUUCGGCGGUCCGAGUUGUAAUUUGUAGAGGAUGCUUCGGGUGCGGCGCCGGUCUAAGUUCCUUGGAACAGGACGUCAGAGAGGGUGAGAAUCCCGUAUGUGACCGGUGACCCAGCCCGUGUGAAGCUCCUUCGACGAGUCGAGUUGUUUGGGAAUGCAGCUCUAAAUGGGUGGUAAAUUUCAUCUAAAGCUAAAUACCGGCCAGAGACCGAUAGCGCACAAGUAGAGUGAUCGAAAGAUGAAAAGCACUUUGGAAAGAGAGUUAAAAAGUACGUGAAAUUGUUGAAAGGGAAGCGCUUGUGACCAGACUUGCUCGCGGGCGAUCAGCCGUCCUUCUGGGCGGUGCACUCGCCCGUGAUCAGGCCAGCAUCGGUUCGGGCGGCCGGAUAACGGCCCCGGGAAUGUGGCUCCCCUCAGGGAGUGUUAUAGCCCGGGGCGCAAUGCGGCCCGCCGGGACCGAGGACCGCGCUUCGGCUAGGAUGCUGGCGUAAUGGUCGUAAGCGACCCGUCUUGAAACACGGACCAAGGAGUCUAACAUCUGUGCGAGUGUUUGGGUGUCAAACCCAUGCGCGGAAUGAAAGUGAACGGAGGUGGGAACCCUUCAGGGUGCACCAUCGACCGAUCCUGAUGUCUUCGGAUGGAUUUGAGUAAGAGCAUAGCUGUUGGGACCCGAAAGAUGGUGAACUAUGCCUGAAUAGGGUGAAGCCAGAGGAAACUCUGGUGGAGGCUCGCAGCGGUUCUGACGUGCAAAUCGAUCGUCAAAUUUGGGUAUAGGGGCGAAAGACUAAUCGAACCAUCUAGUAGCUGGUUCCUGCCGAA
rnacentral:rRNA from 1 species